UGAAGCGGCAAAAGCUCAAAUUUGAAAUCUGGCACCUUCGGUGUCCGAGUUGUAAUUUGAAGAAGGUAACUUUGGAGUUGGCUCUUGUCUAUGUUCCUUGGAACAGGACGUCACAGAGGGUGAGAAUCCCGUGCGAUGAGAUGCCCAAUUCUAUGUAAAGUGCUUUCGAAGAGUCGAGUUGUUUGGGAAUGCAGCUCUAAGUGGGUGGUAAAUUCCAUCUAAAGCUAAAUAUUGGCGAGAGACCGAUAGCGAACAAGUACAGUGAUGGAAAGAUGAAAAGAACUUUGAAAAGAGAGUGAAAAAGUACGUGAAAUUGUUGAAAGGGAAGGGCUUGAGAUCAGACUUGGUAUUUUGCGAUCCUUUCCUUCUUGGUUGGGUUCUCCGCAGCUUACUGGGCCAGCAUCGGUUUGGAUGGUAGGAUAAUGACUAAGGAAUGUGGCUCUACUUCGGUGGAGUGUUAUAGCCUUGGUUGAUACUGCCUGUCUAGACCGAGGACUGCGUCUUUGACUAGGAUGUUGGCAUAAUGAUCUUAAGCCACCCGUCUUGAAACACGGACCAAGGAGUCUAACGUCUAUGCGAGUGUUUGGGUGUAAAACCCGUACGCGUAAUGAAAGUGAACGUAGGUGAGAGCUCUUAAGAGUGCAUCAUCGACCGAUCCUGAUGUCUUCGGAUGGAUUUGAGUAAGAGCAUAGCUGUUGGGACCCGAAAGAUGGUGAACUAUGCCUGAAUAGGGUGAAGCCAGAGGAAACUCUGGUGGAGGCUCGUAGCGGUUCUGACGUGCAAAUCGAUCGUC
rnacentral:rRNA from 1 species